ACCGGAAAUUAUAAAACCGGAUAUAAACCGUUAAACCGGACAAAAACCGGCCGGUCAAACCGGAACCGGAACCGCCCGGUUUGAAUAAAACGGCGCCGUUUCGCGCUUAAGGGGAGAAACAAAACGCCCUUCACCAUCUCCUUCCUUAUUCCUUCGAGCAGAAGUGCAGAACACGCUUGGCCUCAACCAGGGAAAAAUCCUAGCCGCCACCACCGCCACCACCGCCGCAGGGAGGAGCCGUGUUUGCCGCCGUCCAUCGCAGUCAGGGGCUUGUCUCCUCGAGUCUUCGUGCGUCACAGUCAGGGGAGUUCUCCAAGUCUUCGAUCUGUUCGCAGUAACCAGUCGCAGGUGCACUGCUUCUUCCUUGAGCUCGGCCGCCGUCGUGUUGUCGCCGUUGUUUGUCGCUGUUGUUUGUCGCCAUCUGUAGCAGUCAGGGGUUUGUCACCAAGGAGUCUCUCUUCGUCUGUUGGCAUUAUCCAAGUCAAACCCCCUGUUCGCUGUCUUUUUCCUCGCUCGGCGCCCAUCCUCCAUCGGAUUCGUCCUGCUUGCCGUCGUCUUGUCGCCCUCGCCCUCUCGAAGGGAUUUCAGGUUGAACUUCCGAGGUUGGUGGAAAUGGAUUUUUUAACAUUUUUGUCAAGCUGAAUAUGCAAUCCUCUGCACCAAAUUGUGGGAGACAUUAAUGGGCAAGUGGGGCUGCACCAAUUAGAUUCAAUACAUCUAAUGUGAUCAAGUGGAAGGAAGCAAAACUGCAAAACAAAACCAGGGGUUGCAAAAUACAAAAAUAAAUUGAAGUGAACCAGUAACUAGAGCGGUUUGAUGACCGGUCCGGUUUUCCGAACCUUGGUAAAAACCAAAA